rnacentral:lncRNA from 1 species
UUUGAUUUAGUCUUAGUGUAUUGGGCCAAAGUUAAUUAGGCCAAGUUCAUGACCCAAAUCCUUUCAAGCCCAAAGCCUAAUAACCUAAAAAACCCCUUCUCCCUUUAAUAAAAACUAAGCCAGCCCCCUAGACCUAGACUAUACAAAAGAGGCAGCCGUUUAUCAUUUGAACCAUCACCCAAAGGGACUCCUCAUCUCAACAUCAUCUUCUUCAAAUCUAACGCACAAAAUCAGCAUCCAUCUUCAACACUAAAAGAGGAACAAUCUAAAAACACUUAUUUUGAAGCUCCCAGCUGUGACCCUUCUAGCUAUAAUGACCCCUCAACAUCUUCAACCUUACACCACAGCCACCCUUAUCGAUCUCCAUUCACCCCUGCACCCCACCUCCUUAAGGUACGAGAAAAUGGCCUCACCAACACAUCCAUUAAUUGACUAAUAUGUGCUGGAAUUGGAUUCCAGUUCGACUGUGGUGAGGUUGAUUGAGGCAAUCAAGUUUGAUUUUUGGUCCGAGUUCUCAUCGUGCUGUAAUUUUUGAAGAUUUGAAUAUACCGGAAAGUGAUUCUAGGUCCAUGUCCUUUCUCUUUAUCUUACUAUUUGGUCUGAUUAUAAGUAUGAUAAGAGUUUUUGUUUGAAAUGGGUUUAGGCUUGGUAAUUUCCUCAUUAUCUAUUUCUUUAGAGUAGUUCAACACUAAUUUAGUUUUACUCCAGAUCUGACUUUAGCUCCAAAUGCUUGAAUCCAUGUUCAAUAUAUUUAAAUAUGUCAUGUCUGAAAAAUGUUGUUUCUGGUAGUACCGUGAUUUGCAUGGUUCCGUAUUUGAUUAAUCUAAACUCAAUAUUUGAGAUAAUAUCUUGUCAUGUGUUUGGACUUAACUGUUUAAUUUUAGGAUAGUUUUCCAAUACAUGUUCCUUUCGUUACUUUGCUAGUCUUUCUUGUAAAAUUGUUUAAAAAUAUCAGUAGUAGUAUAACUUUGUGGAAUAAUUUAACCUUGUCUUCAUGUGUUUGGAUUUAAGUUAAGAUUGGCAUGGUAUUAUGAUACAUCUACUGUAAAUAUACUUUAGCAUGUUAACAUAUGUUGCUGAAAAUUUCUUUCGACACUUUUGGGAAUCCAGUUUAACCAGGAGUAAUUAAUUAUUUGAGUAAUCCGUUAUGAACGAAAGUUCCCCAAUCUUCUUUGCUGCUUGUCAUGAGUUUUCGUUGAUCUAUCAGAGUGUAAAGGAAAUUUUACCUGUUUGACAUUAUAGUUUUAGUGGGAUCAUUUAGACUUAUUUAGGUGAAUUACGAGUGUCAUUUAGGAGUAAUAUAUUCAUAAAGGAUCUCACAAUGACCCCCAUAGAGUUGGCUAGACUAAUCUUGAAGCAGCAAUCAUCUCCUGCAUCGCUUCUGCCAUAGAAUCAAUUAUCUCUUUAUCCCCACAGCUCUGGUCAGAAGCUGUCACGACCUAGAUUUCCCACCCUCAGGAGUUGUGAUGGUGCCUACUAGUGAAAGCUAGGAUAACCAACCGUUUGAACAAUUUACUUUUUCCCAUUUUUAAUCCUUAACCAAUUAGGAACCAACAAUUUACAAACAGCGGAAGAAACAAAUAAAACCAUUUAAAUAUUUCAAAUAUAAUUUCUUAAACAAAGACUACCCAGAACUGGUGUCACAACUUCACAGACGAUCUUGGAAUACUACCAACAAGUUUUGAGAAAAAUAAAUGCGACAUUGUUUCUAAAAUAAAAAAAUGAAACAGGAUGAAAGGAUAGGGGAGACGCCAGGGCCUACGGAUGCCUACAGGACUACCUUGGAUCUCUGUAUGGACUGAAGGCAGCCACCCAUGCUAAGGUCCAAAAGUUGAUGCGCCGGGAUCUGCACACAGUGCAUAGUGUAGUAUCAGCACAACCAACCCCACAUGCUGGUAACUGCCUGCCUAACCUCGGUGAAGUAGUGACAAUGCUAGGACUAGACUACCAAAUAAACCUGUGCAGUUAAAUCAAAUACGAUGGAAAGUAAAAGCAGGAAUGUACAGUUAGGAAUGGGAGGGGAAAACAUGUUGUGGGGAAACAUCAAUUAAAAAUAGAAAGAUAGCAAGUAAUUAUGAGGAACACCAUGUCUCAAUUAUCCACAAGAAUCAGAAAUCAAACCAGUGCACGGCAUCACCCUUCGUGUUUUUACUCUCGUCCUCACCAUGAGAAUCCAUAUAAACUGCACUGCAUCACCCUUCAUGCUUUUACUCUCAUCCUCACCAUAAAAUCAACAUAAUCGGCAUGGAAUUGUACAUUGUGCGGCACGGCAUCACCCUUCGUGCUUUAACACUCUCCCACAAAAACAAUGUACGGCAUCACCCUUCGUGACUUAACACUCUUCCUCACCCAAACAACAAUCACAAGAAAUAUAGGCAAGGAAAUAAAUGAAAUCACAAUAAAAUUUCGGCAAGGGAACAAUAGUACAACAAUCAAAUCCCGGCAAGGGAACAAUGUCAAAAACAUCAACAUCCCGGCAAGGGAUAUAGCAUUGAAAGCAACAACAUCCCGGAAAGGGAGACAAUAUACUAAUCCUCUUCUCUUUUUCACAUUUACUUUACAAUUCACUUCACAACUUGAGCCAAUGCUCUAUAAGGUUCAAUUGCCAAUUAUACUUCCACAAUUCAUUAUACAACUUGAGUCAAUGCUCUUCAAUACUCAAAUACUACUAUUACUUCCACGAACUUUGCUCAAUAAUAGGAAUCAUCACAAAAGGCACGAAUAGUACAACGGAGUCAUAAAAAUCAUAAUAUAAGACUCACGGGCAUGCUUGACACCAACGUAUAGAUAAUCGUCACCAUGCCUAUACGUCAUACUCUACAAAUAACACAUAGCAAAUAGAACACAACUCCUAAUCCCUCAAGCUAAGGUUAGCCCAAACACUUACCUCGAUGCCACGAACACAAUUAAAGUCUCAAAUAUCGCUUUACCUAUUGAUUCCACCAUCAAUUCACUCAUAUCUAGCCACAAGUUACUUAACUAUAUCAAUAAAUUUUAAAUGAAUUAAUUCCAAUGCAUGAAAAUAGGUUUUCUAAAGUUUUUUUCCCAAAAGGUCAAAAAUCGCCCCCGUGCCCAGAUGGUCAAAACCCGAGGUUCAAACCAAAACCCAAUUACCCAUUCCCCCAUGAACUCAAAUAUAUAAUUUGUUUCGAAAUCGGACCUCAAAUUGAGGUCCAAAUCCCCAAAAUUUGAAAAACCUAGGUUCUACUCAAAACACCUAAUUUUCCCCCAUGAAAACCUUUGAUUUGAGUUGAAAUCAUAAGAAAAAAUGUUAAAUAUUAAAUAAAACGAGUUAUAAAUGACUUACAAUCGAUUUGGAAGAGUACUUGUCUUUGAAAAAUCGCCCAAGAUUCUUUUAGUUUUGAAAGGGUUUGAAAAAUGAAAGAUUUUCGGCUAAGUUAUGAAUUUGCAGGUUGCAGAUGUCGCAAUUGCGACUAGGGCUCGUAAUUGCAAACCCUUCAGAAGUCUUCUAUUGUCGCAUUUGCGACUAAUGUUCGCAAUUGCGAACUCACUUUUGCAAUCCGAUUGCCGCAUUUGCGACACUGGAGGAUUCCAGGCCAUUUUGCAAAUGCGAUGGGCCCUUCGCAUUUACGACAUCGCUUUUGCUAUGACUAUGUCGCAUUUGCGACCCCAAGGCAGACCAAGUAUUCUUCGCAUUUAUGAGAAAAGUUCGCAUAUGCGGGCUCGCGUUUACGAAGUCUGCAGACCUACAACAUACCAACUAAAAACCUGCAACUCAUUAAGUUAAAUUCCACUCUGUGGCCUAUCCAAAACUCAUCCGAGCUCUCGAGGCUGCAAACCAAACAUGCACACCAACCUAAAAACAUCAUAUGGACUUGCUCGUGCAACAAAAUCAUGAAAAUAACAUGUAAAACUAUGAAUUAAACCUCAAAACUCAUUAUUUUCAUCAAGAACACUUUAAGGUUCAUAACUCUUCGACCGGAGGUCCAAAUCACAUUAAAUACACUCCAUUUUUUACCAAAUUUUAUAGUUAUCAUUUAAAUACUAAAACAAGUUUGUACAGGGCUUCGAAACCAAAAUACGGGUCCGAUACCAAUGGUUUCACACAUUAAUUCUUUUCUUUAUUUCAUAAAUAAUUCAGCAAUACAAUUUCUUUCAUAAUUUGAUUUCUGUGGCUUGGGACCUCGGAAUUCAUUUUCGGGCAUACGCCCAAGUCCCUUAUUUUACUGCGGACCUCCCGGGAUUGUCGGAACACAGAUCAGGGUCCUUUUUCUUGAAAUAUUGACCAAAGUCAACCAUAAUCAAAUUUUUAACUCUAGAAAUUUCUAUUUCCCAUAUUUUUACAUAAAAGGAUUUCCGAAUAUAGGUCCGAACCACACAUGCAAAUCGAGGUAAAGUAAAAAGGAGGUUUUAAGGCCUCAGAACACAGAAUUUAUUUCUAGAACAAGUGAUGACCUUUUGGGUCAUCACAGAAGCAGGAGCUAUAUCUGAUGAACACUUCCUCUUUUUACAAGCUACAUUCCUUGUUGUAGUUUGUUGUGAGGUAGAAGCGCUAUGUAAAGGUGUUGGAGAUGAAGGAUUUACAGGAGCCAAGUUGCUAGUUUCUUUACUGUUCCAAUGUGCUUUGGAUAUCAUGUCUAUUUUGGAUGAUUAUUGCGUUUACUUUAAAUUUGUUAUGAUGAAUAUAUGGUCGUGGGUUGGCUAUUAGAAGUUUGAAAGAAAUUUUUGUUGAACAUGCUCUUUGUUUUACUUUAUUUAUUUACUUCUUUAACUGUUAGGAGUAUGUUAGGCCGACAAUACUCGGGUAGGCGAACUUCUAGGCGCGCUUUGAAUUUAUUAUCGUGAUUAUAUACACGUUCUCUUGACAUGAUUAUGAUUUCUAAAAUAAACAUUCGUAGUUUGUUUUAGGCGUGACUUAGUUUAUUACCGUGAUUAUGUAUACGUUCACGUAACAUAAUUAUGAAUUUCGUUCUAAAAUAAAUCGAGGGAUGCGUUCAUGCAACUUCAAUCAAACUUUCUUAAUAAUUAAUAAAGCGUGAUUAAUUGUGGACAUGUACACGUGACAUGAUUUUUGAUGCGCCAAACGAAAUGAGUACAUGUACGUAUGACUCAAUUCUUUAAUUAUGAAUAAAUCAAGUGAUUAAAAGUGGUAAAAAGAUAAAAUUACAUAGGUUCUAAAAUGAGUAUUUAAACAAUUUAAGCCAAGUAUAAAUUGCUAAACAACUGUGCUAGUACCACAGAACCCUGGAAUGCCUAACACCUUCUCCCGGGUUAACAAAAUUUCUUAUCUAGAAUUUUUGGUUCGUAGACUUUUAAAUAAAGUCAAAAUUUUCCUUGAUUUGGGAUUUAAAAAUAAGUCGGUGACUUGCGACACCAAAUAAACUAUUCCAAGUGGCGACUCUGAUAAAUUAAAUAAAAUAAUCCCAUUUCGAAUAAUGUCACUUUAAUUGGAAAAACUCCCUUGAAUACCCUCUCAUGGUAGAAAAAGGAGGUGUGACAAGGAUAGGUGAGGCACUGGGUGUUGGUCUCACCCCAAGGUUUGGGGCGGAACAAAAGUGGUACCAGAGCAGUUCUAUCCUAGGGAGUCUAUAAGGUGUGUCUAAUAGAGUCUUGUUUAUGGGUGUGUCAUGCACCAAACUUAUAAGCAGAAGGCUACAGGGCAUUUAAGACUGCCACUCUUUCUUCUUACUCUAGAUCGUGUGGUAGAGCUUAGUUGUAAGAGCUAAAUUUUCUAAACUCUAUCUUAUUCCUAAUACGAUGAUGCCUACAUUUAGAAAGAUGGUUUGUAAGGGAUUGAAUGCAGUUACGAAAGAGUUGAGUCAGAAGAGCUUGGUGAGCUUCUAGAAAAGGAGCCUUAAGGCAAGAAUAGCUAUCCACCUUUAUGGUUAAAAACAAUGAGAGAUUUAGAAGAUAAAUACAAGUUUCAACAAGUAACGGAAGCAAAGUGAAAGAGGGUACGAGGUGCUCAGCAAAGAAAAUUAUCCUUACUUACCAUUCAGGAAGGGAGAUAUAAGCAUUUUGAGUUACCUUCAAUAGUAAUAGAGGUAUGUACAAUUGGUCACACCGAUCUAAGUUAGGCUCUAUGGGAGAUAACAAAUAUGGUUUAAGAGAAUGACGUAAUAUCACAAUCCGGCUGGGGUCAGAGUGACCCAAAAUGGUGGAUGAAUUAUUUGCAUUAGUAGACAUUGCCGAAGGAUAUUGCAAAUGUGCUAAUAGAUCUCCCUGUGAGACACCCAGAUGGUGCACUCUAAAAUAGUACAGAUAGAUAUGAGUACUACGAAGAUAGGCACUAAAAGCCUGGAAUGGAUAAAUAUUACCUUAGUGUGACUCUUGUCCCUAGUAGAGCGAGGAUAUUAGAAACCCGAAGAGCCGAUAAAUGAAGCAAGAGGAGCUAAAAGCAAAAGAAUGUCUUUUUAAAGUUUUCACGAGAAAGGGAUAGGCAGAAAUAUUAGCAGAGUAAUGAGAAGAGAGAUAAGGAAGAAUUAUGAGUAAGAUAUGAUACAUGAAUGACAACGAUGGAAAAAUAAAAUCAAAUGACAGUAUUACAUAGUCGAUAAUCGAGGAAAUAAAAAAAUGAGGGGUGCCAGGCCUGGAGAGACCAAAAAGAGUAUAGGCCAUACAGUCACAUCCUUAUUUUGAGAAAUAAGUUCGCGACUCUAAUGUGAUUAACAGAAGGGAAAGUUAGACUCUAGAGUAAUAGAAAUCAGCAUGGACUAGUGAACAGGAUAACCUAAACAUGAAUUAGGAAUUGAGUGAUUUGAUAAUAGUAAGCAUCAUGAGAAUUUCAUAUUGCGUUCGGGCAGUAAUAGAAUGGACAACAAAAAAAUAUCCAUGAGAAAUUCAAAGAAUUGUCAUUCAGGAAGACUUUUCCCUAAAGCAAGCAAUGGGAGCAAAGUUAAGCUUAAGGGAAUGUAUGUGCCAGUUACACUAAGUGUCACCAUCGCGAGUAAAGAAUUUAGUUAUCUUUGGUAUAAAAGGAUUACCGCAAGGCGAGUAAGGGUCAUCAAUGAUGUGAAAGGAUGCCGAAGAUGAAGAGGUAAAACAUGAAUGAUGUGGCAUUAAGUCAGAAUUAAGUGGAUCUAGCAACUAUGGAAUGAUAAAGGAAGAAUGCGAUAAAAAUGAGAAGAGGAUGAGAUUGCACUUAUUCAAAUGUUACAAAUAUGCUAUGAUUCCAGAACAUUAUGCAAGCACAACGUCAAGAAAAGGAAGUACGGGUUCCUACCCGGGAUGUUAUUAAUAGAUAAUGAGCCAGUAUGUGAGGUAAGUUAAGACAAAGGAAAUAACCCAAGAAAGAUUAUGCAGAAUAUGGAUAUGAGAAUGGGCCAACGAGUAGUUAGUAGUUGAUUCAGGAAGAGCCUAGUCAUGACUAGACAAGAGGUUAUAGACAAAUCAACAGAUCAUGCGAGAUAAAUAUAGUGAGCCCCAACAUGGAGAAUUCAACCCCGUAGUAAUGUCAUUAUAAUACUUGUGAUAUAUUCAAAUAGGAGUCAGGUUAGUUAAAGGUACUGUAUGAGUGUUACGGGGAUAAAAGAAAGUACCACUGGUAAGACAGCCAAAAUAUCAAUUCAGGAUCAACCCUACACGCACAAGGGCAUGGAGGUAAGCAACUACAGAUGAUUAUAGGCAAGGAAGGACAUCAAAAGGUCCGUAAUAAGCUUACAGCUUUACAAGAGUCUCCCAAAAUACUACAACGAAAGACUAGCUAAGGAAAUAAGGAAGAAGGUUGCAACAUAAGCACAAUAACCUAAAGAGGAAAUGGUCGUGUAACAACAGUCUCACAACAACGUUGUAAGCACUCCAAAGGACAGUGGCACCUACCGUGGAUAAUGAAUGGGAAGUAAAAUUAAUAGUAAUAUUUAAGAUCAUAUGAAUUGCACAAAACCUCCCGCAUGCGUGGGAACUAAGAUAAGAUAUGUAUGCACGCAAUAAGGGGGCAGAAAGACCAGGAAAAGUAAUAGCUUACGUUAAGGAAAGCUAAGAAAGAAUGAAAGGAAAUAUUGGAUCAAUGAUCCUGAAUUACUUAUGUUACGAACAUACUUAAGAGUUUGUAUAUGCCAUGCAGCACGUAUGUUGACAAUCAUAUAGUCGUAGAAGACUCCGGUAUAAGUUAAAGGAAAGAAUUGAGUCCAGGUCAUAGACAAAGGAUUGAAUUGUUAGAAGAUUGUAUCCUGAACAUUCCAUAGCGUCCAUGAAAGGGCUAAAGUAAUACCAUGAGCCGCGGAUUGGAAGAUGGCUUAAGCCUACAUAAAGGAUAAUCAGAAGGAGGAGAAAAUUAAAGAGUUACAUCAACGAAGUAAAUCAGGAGUUUUAUUAUUGGACCCAGAAAACUACAAAAAAAAAUCAUGCUUGAGAAUAUUGCAGAAUUAAUCAUUACAUCAAAGGUACAAGAGAGAUAGUACAACAACUAUAUUUUAUAAUGGCUCUACGAUAUAUCCAGCUAGAAGAAGUAUCAGCCUCAUAAGAAGUCAUUUUGAAGCUCCCACCGAAUUGUGUAUUCCCCAGAGGUGAAAGUAUUAUAAUAGAGCUUCAAGUUGUGAACGUGAAUUAUAGCUAUGUGGAAGGGAGGUAAUGAAAGAGAUAAAAGAUACGAAUUAAGAUUUUAAGCUAUGAAAGGUAAAGGUGAACAACGUACGAGAUUCUCAAAUGCAGAAGGUUGCGAAUAAUCCAUACUACGGAUAAAAGGCUAAGAAGGGGGGAUUCAGUAUCCAAGAAUGAUAGCAUCGUUGUCAGUGGCAUACCUUCCAGCUUAUGCCUUCUAAGUACCAAAAAGUCUAAUUAGAGAGUAAAGGAAGAGUUAGAGACGAUGCGAUGUAUCACUUGAUGUUCCAGAAAAGCAUAAGGGAAUCGAUCGCAAGCUAAAGUAUGAUAGAACGACAAGGUUUAGAAAGACAAGAGUAAGGAUAAGAAGAAAGAAAGUGAAAAGGCGACGAAAAUGGAUAAUUCCUCGAGAUUAAGACCGUGAUAACAAGGGAACUGAUGGUUCCUCUAAGUUAUAGAAAGCUCAAUAUAGCCUAAAUGAACUCAAAGGAGUCUAAGACUAGUAGCAUUUGUGAGGGUGUAAUUGUGAUAAAUAAAGGAUGACGUUUGGGCCUUCACUUGAGUAAUGAUUUGAAGGGGAAAAAAGGAAGAGGAUUUCAUGAAUUUUAAGGGACUAAAAUACUCAUAUAAGGUGAGUCACAUUGGAAUGCUAAAAAUUACGGUUAUGGAAGUAUAGUAUCACCCCUAGGUGGAUCAAUCUAAUUACUCCAGAUGUCCCCGGUGAGACGUGAGCCCUAGCGGUGGUGUUACAUAAAAGAUCAAGUUAUUAGUGUUAGAUGAUGAAUCAAUAUUAAGGUGAAUCAACAAUAUAUGGAUAAAAGUUCAAUAGUAUGAGAUGAGAUUAGACCAUCAGUCUUAAGGAUAAGCAACGAGAGUAACCUGGAGUUGGUUGCAGACCUCAAAUAGAAGUAAGAAUUAUGGUAUAGUAUGACCUACGUAGAUACAGUAAAGUCAUGUGAAUGGAUAACUAGGUCUAUGAAAUAAUAUAUAGCCAUAUUCGCAAGUUUUACAAAGUAUCGAGCAAGGAACUUCGGUACACCUAUAGAUGUCUAGAGAGGCAUCCUAUUAAGAAUUGUAAAUGUUUACAAAGUAAGGCCUAGAGAUUGACUAAAAGCUAGAGGAAAAAGGAGAGAAUAAUCACAUAGGCACACUUACAAGGUCAGUAUCGUAGAGGCUGCAUGAUAGGAGGUAGCACCAGUUAUGAGACUGGAAGGAAUUCGAUCACAAGCCAUGCCGUAGGAAAGAGGCCUAAAAGGAGGAAUGCCCUGGCCUUUGGAUUUAUUCAAAGAACAGUUGCCUAAAUAGAAAGGAGAAUAUUAAAGUAUUCUCAAGAGCUAUGGGUUAUGAGAAUGAUAAGUGCAUCAACCAACAUUCGAAGAUGAAUGUUCCAAUAGGGGGAAUGAUGUAACCCCCCAAUAUUAUGUUGAUAUUACGUCUUGCAAUACUAUAUUACGAUUAUGUUAUGCCUUGCAGUAUUACAUUACGAUAAUGUUACACCUUGUAGUAUUACAUUACGAUGAUGUAGGUAAUUGACAUCAGUCCAAGGAAAAGAUUAUUUGGAGAUUAUAUGGAUUAUGCUAUUUCAAAUAAGUGAUGAGUAAAUUCGUGAAGGUGAGAGGGGAAGCAAGUCAAAGAAAAUGAAUUUUCGUUCAAGUUUGGCAUGUUUGGAUAAAAUACGGUCCGAGCUAUAAUACCCAAUACUUAUGGACUAGUACCAUGCAAGGUACCAUAUGACCAUGGUAGUAUGAUGUAUAAUGUAUAUUAAAAAUAAGUAAAAUUUUAAGUAAUUUGAGAUAAUCUUUAAUUAUGCGGGUAAUUGGUUAAUUACCGGGUAACUGAACAUAAGUGAUAAAGAUUAAAUAAAAAAACCCACCCCACCCCAAGUGGCAACAAUCCACUAGAAAUUAAGUAACUCAUGGUCACAAUGAAUUAGGUGUCACCUUGAUAAAUUAGUGGCAAGACACCUCCACUUUAAUGCUUUCAAACAACCUUGCAAAUUCAUUUUCAAUGUUUCAAUAUUAAGAAAGAACGUGACAUUCUGAUAUUUGAACAAUGCAAAGUGAUUUCUAUAAUACAUCAUGGUUUUUAUAAUUUCAACAAUUCCACGAGAAUUUUUAGAAUUUUAGCAAUGGAGAAAUUUCGCAGUUCUAACGAAGUACGGUGCAAUCUUUUUCAAGAAUAUUAUGCAGAUUUUUUCCUACUCCAGGUAUGUUAAGGAUAAGUUCUUCCUUCAUUUUGCAUGAUCUCGUAAUUACAAAAGUUUGAUAACGAGUCAUAAAGAAAAAUUCAUAUCCCGGAAUUUACGUAUAUUUUCCUAGUUUUGUAAGUUACAAUAUUCUCCUUAUCGGGUCUUCAUAUUUAAUUAAGUAUUUCCUUUUUUCAGUCAAGAGAGCAGAGAGUUUAUAUAUAUAGUAUUAAAGUAUUUUCAUUACCAUCGAGCUAUAAUCGAUGGGCAGGCCGCUAUUGGCAACCUCUGAUCAUAUGGUAAGUUAUAUACCGAUCCUACUGUGGUCGAGCGCCUAUGAACGAGCCCAGUUGGUCGAGAUACAGAGCCUNNNNNNNNNNNNNNNNNNNNNNNNNNNNNNNNNNNNNNNNNNNNNNNNNNNNNNNNNNNNNNNNNNNNNNNNNNNNNNNNNNNNNNNNNNNNNNNNNNNNNNNNNNNNNNNNNNNNNNNNNNNNNNNNNNNNNNNNNNNNNNNNNNNNNNNNNNNNNNNNNNNNNNNNNNNNNNNNNNNNNNNNNNNNNNNNNNNNNNNNNNNNNNNNNNNNNNNNNNNNNNNNNNNNNNNNNNNNNNNNNNNNNNNNNNNNNNNNNNNNNNNNNNNNNNNNNNNNNNNNNNNNNNNNNNNNNNNNNNNNNNNNNNNNNNNNNNNNNNNNNNNNNNNNNNNNNNNNNNNNNNNNNNNNNNNNNNNNNNNNNNNNNNNNNNNNNNNNNNNNNNNNNNNNNNNNNNNNNNNNNNNNNNNNNNNNNNNNNNNNNNNNNNNNNNNNNNNNNNNNNNNNNNNNNNNNNNNNNNNNNNNNNNNNNNNNNNNNNNNNNNNNNNNNNNNNNNNNNNNNNNNNNNNNNNNNNNNNNNNNNNNNNNNNNNNNNNNNNNNNNNNNNNNNNNNNNNNNNNNNNNNNNNNNNNNNNNNNNNNNNNNNNNNNNNNNNNNNNNNNNNNNNNNNNNNNNNNNNNNNNNNNNNNNNNNNNNNNNNNNNNNNNNNNNNNNNNNNNNNNNNNNNNNNNNNNNNNNNNNNNNNNNNNNNNNNNNNNNNNNNNNNNNNNNNNNNNNNNNNNNNNNNNNNNNNNNNNNNNNNNNNNNNNNNNNNNNNNNNNNNNNNNNNNNNNNNNNNNNNNNNNNNNNNNNNNNNNNNNNNNNNNNNNNNNNNNNNNNNNNNNNNNNNNNNNNNNNNNNNNNNNNNNNNNNNNNNNNNNNNNNNNNNNNNNNNNNNNNNNNNNNNNNNNNNNNNNNNNNNNNNNNNNNNNNNNNNNNNNNNNNNNNNNNNNNNNNNNNNNNNNNNNNNNNNNNNNNNNNNNNNNNNNNNNNNNNNNNNNNNNNNNNNNNNNNNNNNNNNNNNNNNNNNNNNNNNNNNNNNNNNNNNNNNNNNNNNNNNNNNNNNNNNNNNNNNNNNNNNNNNNNNNNNNNNNNNNNNNNNNNNNNNNNNNNNNNNNNNNNNNNNNNNNNNNNNNNNGGGACACUAUAACCCCAAUGUGAAGAGGCAAUUUGAUAGAAAGAGGGGGGGGGGGAAUUCUUCACAAGCAAGCUGCCGGAGGCCAAUGAGCACUUGGUCAAGGAGUUUUACGCCAACAUUGCCCACAUAAAAAGGGGCACCUAUGUGACCAAGGUGCAGAACCAGAAGAUCAUAUUUGAUGGCAAGAUGUUGAAUGACUAUGCUAGGUUUAAUGACGAGGAUGAGUCCUUGUGUUUGGAGAAGGUAGCGAUGGAUGAGUUAGCUCGCCCGUGGCUGGCGUUAGUGAUUGCUCUCCUAGGGAAUACUCCAGCUUGGCUGACACCCAGGGUCCCAAUCUAUAGGAACACAUUGAUCUUUGAGGCGAAGGGUUGGGAAACGUUUGUGUGCAGCCGGUUAGACCCCACUACACAUGAUAGUGAUAUGCUGGUCUCCCGGGCUAUUAUUGUGGGGUCCAUCAUGGCGGGGUUCCGGAUCAACAUCAGAAUAUUAUAUCAAGGGUUAUCACUAGAGUGGUCAACAAGAAUGAGAGCUCAUACCCUUUCUCGAACUUUCUCACCAUGUACCUGGAAGAUCAGGAAGUCGAGGGAAGGGACUUUGAUACGAAGGUGAAACCAAAGAGACCAUUCUCCUGGUAUAGACUUCAGGGUUCCGACAACCCCAAGUCCAAGGGCAGAGCUUCCACUUCCAUUGGUCAAUCUGAAAGGCUAGGGGUGGUGGCCACUGGUUCCAAGCCUCCCACUGUCAUACCACAUCCUCCAUCCGGACCAUCUACUUCAAUGCCUUUUUCGGUGCCUUCUUCAUCAACUUACCCUCUCGCUGCACUGAGGGUUAACCAGACUCUGUCUAGCAUCAACAAUUGGAUGUAGGCAGCUACAUCAAAGUUGUCUGUCAUAACCAGCGUAGUGGCAGCUUAGUCAGCUCCGGCACAGCCUCAAGUGCCAGAUUUCGUGGAGGAAUCACUAAAGGAGCUUCUAGACAACCAGAAGAAGCUCCUAGACAACUAGAAGAUGAUUAUGGCCACUUUUGAGGCACAGGGAAAGGCAAUAACGAACCUGAGCAAGAAAACAAAGAAAAUGAAGUAAACUCGGGCUUCCAAGGAGUCGGUAAAACUGCUGAGGAAGGAGGUGGAAAAAAUUAGAUCAGUUGGAGACAUCCCAUUGGAGCUACUAUUGGAGGAACCAGUUCCAGCAGCUCAGGCACCGGAGUAGGAGGCUGAUAGACCGCCUAUGGGGAGAGGGGUGAUUCCCCAAAUUGAGGACUUAGAGAUUGAGCUGGAGGACCUGAGGGAGGAGUCUCAGACCAGCCACAGGACUCAGAGGGAGCUGACCUCACUGAUGUGCAGGAUCCGAUGCAGACCACAUAGGGAGUCUUCUUUACUCUCUAACCCCUCUUUGAUCUUAUUUUUGUUUUUAGCAUUAAGGACAAUGCUAUUUUUAUUUGGGGGUGGUCCUAUUUUGAUUGAUACUGGAAUGUAAUUAUGAUACUUAUUUUUUGUUAUUGUUAUUUUUCACUUUUGGUAUGCAUAUAACUUUACCAUUUAUUUUCACUUUUCGUUAUUUUUCAAUUUCGGUAUGUAUAUAAAGUUACCUUUCCAUGUAUAUAUUCAUUACAUUUUAUGUAUAUUCGUCUCAAUCCCCUAUUGUACAUAUUCAGUUUACUUUCCGUAUUUUACUUUAUAACUUCUUUUGUAAUUUUUCCGUAAUAACAUAGCUUCUUAUUUCAUUUAGUAGCUUCUUACUUUUACAAGUUUUUGUGAUCAAUAAGCCUUUAGUUUUCUUAAUUCCACGGUUCUUUCCAAAGGUGAAAUUUAUGUGAACCGGGUGGGUCUUCCCGAUGAUGGAUGGCAUGACAAUCUUCUUAAGGGUUUUAGUCUGUUUUCUUUAUGUUUUUGUGUAAAUAAUAGUAAUGAAUAAAAGUAUCUCAGGCAGAGCUUCACUUGGACCUAACAUAUUUACUUUUGACCUUAUGAUUAGAAAUAAGUUGAUUUGAAAAGAAUGGUGCUAGUUUUGACCUUUAGACUCUUGUGUUGACUAAACAAUCAUCGAGUGGUUUUUGGAGACCAUUUGUGUUGCUCAAUCCUAGCUAAGGUUUUUGUGGGCCCUCGAUUCUAUUCUCUUUAGCAAUCCAAUAGCUUGUGAGGUGAGGUUUUGAUUUACAAGACCAAGUCCCGUACCAAUAAGUCUAGAACUUGCCCUGAUUGUUUGUUAGGCGAAAUUCUAAGUGUAGCUCGACUUGAGAAAUGAUUAUAGGAUCUCUUUGUUCCAAAUUGAAACUCAAAAGCAUCCAUAGCCCACCAAAUAUGAUAUCCCUAGUCAACCCCGUUGAGCCGAAGUCCUUGUUCUUUCAAUAACCAUGAUACAAGCCUUUAUCCGUUCUAAAAUGACCCUCUCUUGGCACCCGAUCUUUCCUUAGCACAAUUGGAAAAAGCAUAAUUUUGGGGGGAGAGACGAGGAAUGAAAAAUUGAUAAAAGGUACAAAAUGAAGAAAAGGGAAGGCAAAAGAAAAAAAAUCCAAAAAGUCAAAAAGAAAGUGAACAAUGUAGAAAACAAAAAAAGGGAUUCAAUAAAAGCAAUGAUGAAAGGCUUGGAAUGAUUAGAAAGGAGAAAAAUGAUUGUCAUGAACAUGAAAUAGUGAUAGUGUGUGUCUCUCUAGUACCCUACGGAAGAAGAAAAGGACUCAAAGAGUCAAGAAAGUGUGAGCCGAAAUGAGAAAAUGAAGUGCUUAAGGAAAGAUGGAACCUACAUAGACCGAUAUAUCCUACCUUGAACCAAAAGCCUUCAUUACAUUCCUACAAAAGCCCUAUAUGAUUACGAGUUGAGUGAGCUUACAUUAGUGGUGAUUCACAUGUUGAGGGUAAUUGUUAGUCUCAAUUGAUGCUUGCUGAAGUCACCUUAGAACAACUGAAAUUCUUCUUUCUUUUACCUUGUGGAGGUGGGAAUUACUUUGUUUGCUUGAGGACAAGCAAAAGCUUAAGUUUGGGGGAGUUUAUAACUACAGAUUUUAGCCUAUCUUAUGCUCUCUUUAAUUAAGUUUUGGUUCAAAAAUGUGUAAAAGUAUUCCCGAAAACUAACUUAUUAUGCUUGUUUGCAGGGUUUGGUCAAAAUGAGGCAAGAAAGUUAUAACCAACUCAUAAAGGAGUUAAACCUGCACAAGUUCAAAGCAGAGAUAAAAGCACUGAUAGUGAUGAAAUAGUAUGGCUGCAGAAGGUUCACCGAUGAGGUAGUCACAAUUACGCUCCCAGCGAAAUUAAGAUUCAGAGAAGGCAUUUGCGGAUACAACAGAUACUGCUGACCUCGGUGAAAUAGUGCGGCAGCGGAAUACUUGACGCGGCUGCAAUGCUAAAUCCGUUGAGGGCAAAUUAAAUAUUCAGAGGCCUGGAAAUUUGAGCUUAAAUGAAAAGCGCGGCCCGUGAACAUUUAUGCGGCCGCGGUUGAAGACAAUGCUGGGGUGGUGUCUUUUACGCGCCCAGCAAAAUGAUGCCCAGCCCCAGUCCAAAAUGGAAGAAACGCGAUCCGUUAAAGGGUUGAAAUGAUUAGAAAGGAGAAAAAUGAUUGUCAUGAACAAGAAAGAGUGACAGUAUGUCUCUCUAGUCCCCUAAGGAAGAAGAAAAUGACUCAAAGAGUCAAGAAAGUGUGAGCUGAAAUGAGAAAAUGAAAUGCUUAAGGAAAGAUUGAACCUACAUAGACCGAUAUAUCCUACCUUGAACCAAAAGCCUUCAUUACAUUCCCACAAAAGCCUUAUAUGAUUUCGAGUUGAGUGAGCUUACAUUAGUGGUGAUUCACAUGAUGGGCAAGCUUAUGGUACUUAGAGUCGGACUUGUGACCUUCCUUUGAGAGAUAUGAGUGUAUUUUACCACAAUCUUUGUUCUGAGUGCUAUAAUCUUAAGUGAGAUUUUGCUUAUGGAGAGUGAAGGAGAAAUAUUUUGGGUUCCACAGCGACAUACGUAGUAGAGCGAGCUUCCUUGAUGAGUUAAGCCAACUCUUGAUGCUCUUGUGUUGCACUAUAGUUAUGGUGCUAAAGAGGUUGUGUGUUGUUGAUAAUACAUUUGUGUUGAGGGUAAUUGUUAGUCCUAAUUGAUGCUUGCUGAAGUCACCUUAGAACAACUAAAAUUCUUCUUUCUUUUACCUUGUGGAGGUGGGAAUUAUUUUGUUUGCUUCUUAAGUUUGGGGGAGUUGAUAACUACGGAUUUUAGCCUAUCUUAUACUCUCUUUUGCUUAGAUUUUUUUCUGAAAACUAACUUACUGUGCUUGUUUGCAGGGUUUGGUCAAAAUGAGGCAAGAAAGUUAUAACCAGCUCAUAAAGGAGUUAAACCUACACAAGUUCAAAACUGAGAUAAAAGCGCUGACAGCGAUGAAAUAGUGCGGCCGCGGAAGGUUCAACGCUGAGGCGGCCACAAUUACGUGCCCAGCAAAAUAAAGAUUCAAAGAAGGCAUUUGUGGAUACAACAAAUACCGCUGACUACUGUGAAAUAGCACGACAGCGGAAUACUUGAUGCGGCCGCGGUGCUAAAUCCGCUGAGGGCAAAUUAAAGAUUCAGAAACCUGGAAAUUUGAGCUUAAAUGAAAAGCGCGGUCUGCGAACAUUUUAUGGGUCAUUGUUGAAGACAGUGCUAAGGCGGUCUCUUUUACACGCCCAGCAAAAUGAAGUCCAGCCCCAGUCCAAAAUGGAAGAAACGCGGUCCCCGCUUGCUUUUGCGUGGCCGCAAAAGUUCAAGCAUUGAGGCUCCCAGUAUUGCGCUGACAGCGGAACCUCCGUAGGGGUAUUUUUGUCCAGUAAUUUCAGCUAUGUAUAAAUAGAUCUUUUUCAUUUUUUUAGGUCAUCUUUUGUAUUGAGGAGCUCAUGAACAGACGUAUUUUACUACAUAGAGUAAUUUUAGAGCAACUUUAGCUAUUAAUCUUAGAUUUUCUUCUUGUAAUCAACUUUUAUGGCUUAUAUUUCAUCUCCAUCUUUGAUUUCUACCGUUAUUAUGAGUAGCUAAACCCAUUAGCUAGGGUUGUGACCCAACCCUAAUAUGGGUAUUUAAUGGGUCCUCUAUUUUAGGGCUUAAUUAUUUAUGAGUAUGUGAUAUUUAGCUUGAUUCAUGCUUUAAUUGUAGAAUUGGUAGUUGCAAACACUGGUUCAUGCCUUUAAGACUUAGACCCUUCUUGAUAAAGAGGGACUAAGUCUAGGAAAAUUAGGAUAACAUAAUUUAAACUUUGGCAUGUGUAGUUUUGAUCUAUAUUAGCUUCCUCUAAGGACUAGCAAGACUUCCUAAUUAAAUUAUCCCUAAAUCAAUUAAGAGAUUAAGCACAUCCGAUUAUGGCUACAAGUAGUUCAAUCCUAUCCCUAGGUAGAAUCUAUAAAAGGAGGGUUAAAACCUCAAGUUCUUGUUAGUUAAUCUUUAUCAACCCCAAAUAAUCUUUCCCAAAAUAUAUUCGAAGUUAAUGGGUGAGUCCUAGGGUUAGCUAAUGCCUUUGGAAACAUUAAAGAACAAGAAUAAUUAAAGAAACAAUAACUCACUUAAUAAAAGAUAAAAAAUCAUUCAAUACACAAGCAAAACAAGAUAUUUAAUCCAGACUUUAAACAUGAAUAUUUCCAUAAACAAGAUUCAAGUGUUGGAAUAAAAUACACUUAGAUAUACAAUACAAAGGAAGGAAAUGAAGAAAUGAGCACAAACGAAUAAGAAAUUCUUAACCAAAAGCUUCAAAUCUUCAAAACCUAAGUGUGUGUGCAAGAACCCUAGAUCCAAAAUAUUCUCUCAAAAUAGGUCAAAGACUGCCCAAAGAUAUCCAAAGAUUUGCCAAAGAUCUACUAGGUUAUGUAUUAAAUGGUUUUGGGGUCAAAAACGUAAAAUGCCAAAACUGCCCAGAUUUCUGCCUAGAUAUGUGAAUCGCGAUAUCGAAAAGAGGCAUGCAAUCAUGUAGAGUAAAGAUGUAAAGCACUGCAAUCACGGACAAGGUCCGCGCGUUCACGUAGAGCAAUUGGGAACAAUUGAUAAGCCUCUUCUUCGUGUUCGCAGAAAUAGCUCUGCGUUCGGGAUGUAUUGUUUGCCAGCCUUCUGCGAUCGCAUGCCAAAGUUCGCGAAUAGUGAAGAGCAUUAACUGGCAGCAGUCAUUUUUCUUCAAUUUUGCACAUUUUGACUUGGUUUGUUCCGUAUUUCCUCCAAAUCAAUUGAUACCUCAGAUAUGCCACUAAACCUCAAUAAAUGCCUUAGUUUCUCAACAAAAUCAUACAAAAGCCUAAGUAUCAAGAGCCAACUUAUCAAUAAGUCUCAUGUCUAAACUUGUGAGGGGGAAACUAACCCGUAGGUAUUGUAUUUGUUAUGUGCUACUUGAUGUGGGAGUCACGUAUGCAUGAUGUGAUGAGAGCUUGUACGUAGCUAAAAUCAUUUUUAUGUCCGGAUAGACUUAUAACUUUAUCAUGCAAUAUCUGUAUUACCUGAAGUUAACUUGUUAGUUUAAUUACCUAAAACUUGUAAAUGUAAUUUGAUUAUAGAUCAUGUUAGGUCGAAUAUCAUUACUUUGAGUUGUUUGGAGGGAUAUUUGAUUGUUGGUAAAAGUUAAGCUUACUUUAUGAUCCUAUUCUUAUGUUGCAAACAUGUAGCCCGUAAUUUGAUAAGUUUAUUCUCUUCCUAGAGUACAGGCCUAACGCCUCGGUAGUAUGUUGAGAUGUACCCACGAAUCAAGCCAUACGAUCUCGGUAGUGUAUGUACAUGAGUUUAUGGAUCGGGUCGUAUGACCUCGGCAUCACUCAUGUGUAAUAUCGCUAGGAGUCCGAAUAUUCAUGAGAUUUCCCUUUUUGAUUGAGUCUUGGCAUUUUAUGAUAUCUCUUAUCUGUUGGAGAUUAGCAUUUGGUAUUUCAUAUCUGGUUAUAUGAUAUAUGAGAAAUUCACAUUGUCAUUAUGUUGGAGGAUCAUUUUAGUUACAGUUCUUACUUCAUUAUUACCUUGUGUUUCAUAUUUAUUUGUAAUUUAUUGUAAUGAUUUAUGGACCACUUGUAAUUGUCGAUGUUGAUCCCUCGUUGCUACUUCUCUAGAGUUAGGCUAGAUAUUUACUGGAUAUGCGUUGAUUUAUGCACUCAUGCUACACUUCUUCACUGAUUGUGCAUGUAUAUUUUCGGUGGUCAUUUGGAUGCAAGAGCGCAGCUAUUGACGAGACGUUUAGGUGAUCUAUUCAUUUAUAUUAUUAUGUCUAUUUUAUAUUUCAAAUAGAUGUUGUAUUAGUAUUGUACUUCCUUGUAUAUGCACAUGCACUUGUGUCACCGGAUUUUGAGAGUUUCUAGUAGAUGUUUAUACUUUUUAUCAAAUUAUCAUUAAUCUUUUAUUUUAUGUAUUAUUAAUGCUUUAUAUCUCCAUGGUUUUCUAUGCCUAAUUUCCUUUACUUAAUUAAACCUAUAAAUUUUUGAAAGCAAUAAAAUGUGUAAUUAAGUUGUUAGUUUGUCGUUGGCUUGCCUAACGGUAAUGUUGGGCACCAUCACGGCCUAUAGCGUAAAUUGGGUCAUGCUACUUUGCUCUCGGUAGGGCUGCCGUCCAACUCAUCUGCCGGUCAUCUUCUCCAGCGGAGCUCUACCGAAGCCCAACCAAGCAACUGCCUCUUUCUCUUCCCCUAUCUCAUCUCCACCGGCAGAUCUACAUUUCAAAAUCACGAAGUCACAAUGAGUCCAUUACUGGUGGCGAAAACAAUGGAGGAGGAAGAUCGAGGGCGUCACGAGAUCUGGAUCUCACGGAGAUGCCGAAAUCCAUGACAGAAUAUAUACUGAAAACAAUGGCCGAAUUUUUGUUCGUCUCUAUUUUUAAUUUUAGUAUAAUGUAUACCGUGUUUUGCUUGGCUGGAAGGCUCCAUCUCCAGCGAACUUUCAUCUAUUUUUUGCCAUCGAGUCAUAUACAAUGAUAUAAAUACAUUGUACUUUGUACAAAUACACUCAAAUUUGAGUAUAAUUUGUAUUUUUCAAUGCAACAACAACCCAGUUAAAUUCCACUAGUGGGGUUUGGGGAGGGUAGUGUGUACGUAGACCUUACCCCUAACUCAAAAGAGUAGAGAGGCUGUUUCAAUGCAAACCGAGUUUAUUUUUUUAUUUUUUGUAUUUUCUCAUGUAUUCAUGUAUUCUGAAGGUUAUUUUUUGUGGUAGAUCCCUAUAAUUUUUAAAUAUUUGUUGUUUGAAUAAAACCGAAUAUCACUAUAUUUAUGAUUUUUUGUUGUUUGAAUACAAUCGAAUUGAAUAUAGUAAAAUUAAAUACAAUUUAAAAUAGUUAAGAAUGAAUAUAGCCAAAUUGAAUAUAGUGUAUACAACCAAAUUGAAUAUAACGGCAUACACCCUAUUUCUUGAUUUUGGUUGUUUGAAUAAAACUAAACUAUAUACACUAAAAUUGAAAAUAAUAUAUAAGAACGAAUACAUCUGAAUUGAAUACAGUAUAUACAACUGAAUUGAAUACAUUGAUAUACAUUCCACUGCAAAAAAUUAAUAGCUACAAAAUAUAGUUAGCAAAAUUAUAGCUACACCCAGCAAUAAGCCUCCAAACAAUAGUUAUUUCUGAAAAAUCAUCUAUAUUAAAUGUAAUUAUUUUAAUUCUUUCUUUCAUUAGGAAGAAAAAAGCUUUUGUUUUCCUAAAACAUUAUAUAUUCAAAUAAAAGAAAACAUGAAAUGAAUGAAAAGUAAAGAAGCUAAGCAUAAAAAGAAAAGAUAAAGAAAUAGGAAUAAGUGACCAACACAAUUUUGGACAUAAAAUUAUAAAUUUUGAAAGAAAAAAUACUAUAUGGAGUUAAGUUUUAAAAUGGUAUUUCGAAUUUGAAAUUAUAUUUCACUUAAAAAAAUGUUGCAGUUUUGUGAGAGAAAAAAAGUAUUUUUGAAUAUUUUGAACAAGUGGUCAAAACCACAUUUUUAGAUUUUGAAAAACUCAUUUUAGAAAAAAUCCCAACAAUUUAUAAAAUUUCGUGGACAAAUACUUUUUUUUUGGGCGAAAAAAAAAUCGGUCAAAAAGGAAAUCUCUUCUUGUAAAAACUUUUCUAAAACAUAAAUUGAGGAUUUGUAGGUCGAUUUGAGUUCGGGAUUGGAUAAUUUUGGCAUGGUUGGACUCAUAUCAGAAUGAGUGUUUGGAAUGUAUGAUUUGGUCGGGUUCCGAGAUGCGGGCCUAAGAUUGAAUUUGUUUAAAGAUUGUAUGCGGCAAAAUCAGAGGGUCUAAUUUCUUGCUAUUAAGUCAUUUCGGAGGAACACCUCGUGACCUCGAGGACGCGAGGCUGUGACCGAGUUUCCUUCCUCGAAGCUCGUCAAGGCCCGACCUAAAGAGAAUAGUGAUCGAGGCUAGAGUAAAAUAGAGGAUUCCCAAGGCACACGGCUAAGUCUGACAGAGCCGGCCUACCUAGAGUCUGUAUCGAGGUGUCACAUAUAGCCGUCCCCUCUCCAUGCCUUUACAAUUAAUGUAUUUUGUACUAUGAUGGGAUUACCCUCCUAUAUAAAAGAGAUCCUUAUCACUUUGUAAGAGGCUACUAUUGUUCCAACUAUUCUACACAAGAUCAAUAACAUCUCUCUCUCUCUCUCUCUUUUCUCUCUAACUUACUCGCGCGAGACUAUCUCUUUCAUUUAUUGCUUUCAUACUUGUUCUCCAUUUAUUACUUGAUAUUGGCCAUAAAUAGACUCCUUUAAUUAUACUUUAACUGUUAGUUCCUUCCCGGUCAUCCCGAUAGCUUGAGCUCAAGCCCAAGCAUCGACCUCGAGGUCCUUAUCGGUUAGUCUGAGGCCCGGACAACAAGCCCUCGGUUUGAUUAUAACCCUGUUUUAGUUCAUAUUUUGUCGUUAAGCUUCACAUAUCUAGCAUCAACUGCUCUAACAACUAGCAUAAAAAUAGAUCACGUAUUUUUAGAGUCCCAUCAAUAAAUUUAAUUAUUAUUACCUUUUUCAUGGUAAAUUGUUUGUCGCCCACCGUGGGGCUAAAAAUAAUAGUGAUUAUUUUCUUGCUGGUUUCGUUACACAAUGCAAGUUAUCUUUCACACUUUUUCUUGUCCAAGAUCUUCGAUUUCAGGUGAAAAUGUCUCGCUCGGUAAACAGAGUUGAGAACGACAACCUUGAAAACCACGGAGAAAACGGUGUGGCUAUUCCAGUUGUUGGCGUGCCACCACAGAACCCCGAUAACGAACCUGGAACGAUUCCAGCAGACGUGGAUUUGCAAGACGCACAGCAGGUCGACGAAACCUCACACACCGACAUGAGCAUACAACAUGGCGACCAACAGACAGUCCACAAAACCCCAGCUCGGGAAGAACAGGAAGUUAGUCUUCAUGUUAUUUUUGAAAUGUUGCAGGCGAAACAAUUGGCUAUCGCUCAGUUGCAAAGCCACUCGAAGACUUCUAGCUCAGUAGCAGCGGAAACUACUCCCCUGGUCAAACACGUACCAGAGAGAUUGAGAAACAACAGAUAAGUAGUUGAUCCUGCCAUCGUGAAAAUGUUAGAGGAACUCACCAAAAGGAUUGAGUUAGGCGAGAAAUAAUAGCAGCCAACGACAAGAAGGUCGAAACCUAUAACUUCAGAGUCGACCAAAUCCCGGGCGUACCCCCGGUCCUGAAGGGUAUAGAUUUGAAGAAGUUCGUACAAUGGCCGUUCCCAGAGGAAGCAGCUCCGAAACCCAUUCCAAAGAAGUUUAGAAUGCUAGAACUCCCAAAAUACAAUGGUACCUCAGAUCCCAAUGAACAUGUCACUGCCUAUACGUGCGCGGUAAAGGGCAAUGACAUAUAAGAUGAUGAGAUCGAGUCCGUCUUACCGAAGAAGUUCGAAAAAACGCUCUCAAAGAGGGCCAUGAUGUGGUAUCACAACCUAGCUCCCAACUCCAUAGAUUCAUUUGCCAUGGUAGCAGAUUCCUUCAUAAAGGUGCACGCCGGUGCCAUCAGAGUAGCAACAAGGAAGUCCGACGUAUUCAAGAUUAAGCAGAGGGAGAACGAAAUACUACGAGAAUUCGUAUCUCGUUUCCAAACAGAAUGAAUGGAACUAACCUUGGUCUCCGACGACUGGGCAGUGCAUGCCUUCACUCAAGGCCUGAAUGAACGAUGCUUGGUGUCCUCAAGGCAGCUGAAAGAGAAUCUGAUCGAAUAUCCUGCCAUAACCUGGUCGGACAUCCACAAUCGAUACCAGUCAAAGAUCAGGGUCGAGGACGACCAUCUGGGAGCCCCCUUGGGCUCAGUAUAUCUAGGCAGACUCCUGGCGAUGGAGUCAAAAUCGAAUAAAGGGAGGUAUCAGCCGUACCCUGAUGAUAGGAGGAAUGCCCCGAGACGAUACCCGCCUCGCAACAAUCGAUUGGUGAACAGAGGACAGAACCCUUGGGUACCCAUCAACAAAGGUGGAUUCAAUGGGGACACGGGGCCAACGGGGCACCUCGCCUAUCAGAAUACAACUUCAACAUCGACAUAUCGGACAUCGUGUUCGCCAUCAGCAAAAUCAGGGAUGCCAAAUAGCCCAGGCCUAUACACUCGGAUCCUUCCCAAAGGAACUAUAACUUGAUAUGCAAAUUUCACAACUCGUACGGGCAAAGAACCGAGGAUUGCAGGCAACUCCGGGAGGAAGUGGCCCGGCUACUCGAUAACAGACACCUUUGGGAAUUCCUCAGCGACCAAACUAAAAUCCAGUCCCGAUAAAGAGAAACAACUAAAAAGAACAAAGCAAAGGAACCCCAACACAUCAUCCAUACGAUUUUUUAAUAUACGCCCUCGGUUGUAUUCAAAUGAAGGACCACAUCGCAUCUGCCAAACGAACGCUGGAGCCCAAGAGUGACAUCGCCACUAAGGUAUAAUCACCUCUCCCUUUUUCUAUCUUUUACUUCACGAUAACUCUUGUGCUGGCCAUCAACCAAAGCAGUCGAGAUGUCGAUCCGGCUCGAGGACCUCGAGGUUUUGAAGCGUCCGUUGCACUCUUUUCCUUCGACCAAGUUUUUAUCCCGAAAUGGAUUUUUGCCGGCAAGGUUUUUAACGAGGCAACGUCCAUGCGCUACCUAAGGAAGACCCAACAAGCUUACAAGACUUCUUUUGCAAUCAACACUGCACCAGUAAAUGACAAACGAGGUUCCAAUAGGAACUGAUGUACCGGGCCAAACGGUCGAACAACCGUGUAUGCAUAAGCCGGGCUUACGGUAACAAAAUAACAUGGACUUACGCCAAAUAGUCAAAGAAUAUCUUUCACCAAAAGCAUCUCGUACUCCAAUGAAAAUUCAGCGUGUUCACAGCAAGGAUCCCUCCAUCGAGUACGUCCCGAAAUACUUGGAAACUAGCUCAUGGCCUCAGGAUCAUAACUCCAUGCUCAUAAGCCCUCAAUAAGACAAUUUCGAGCUCACGAGUAAUGGCCUCCGAGCCUAAGUAAACUCGAAGACUAUCGCCAAUCGCCAUUAACUUAAAAACUCGAUGCCGUAAGACCCCGAGCGGGCAAACUCGGUCUAGCAAGAUCUGUUUAAUAUAGCAACAAAAAUUGUAAUACCUCAACAGGCAUGAUACAAAUGUAAGACCUCAACAGGCAUGAAAAAACCGUAAGACCUCAACAGGCAUGAAAAUUUUGUAAGACCAUACUACAGGCAUAAAACUCAAUCCCGAAGUUUAGGCUAUAUGUCGCAUUUGUAAGACUAUCGAAAGGGCAUACCCUCUAUGUAGACGCCUAAACUACCACACUCAGGAUCAAAAAUGGCUCCGGCCAAACACAAAUGACUACAGUCAAUACGGCUACACCAGCCAAAUUAAUGCGACUUAGGGACGCCCGACCGUCACUAUAAAAUCACAGGCCAUUACUUCGAAUCUACUUCGAAAAGAACCGGUUAUACAAGCUACCCUCGACAGGCAAAAGAGCUUCGACCAUGUUCCAAAUCACAAGGCAAAUGGGCUACGAGCUACGAGCUAAACCUUCCGAGGUGCUCGAAUAUUGUAGCAAAUGACAUGAAAUCGAGGUUCUUCCCGAACCGACUAUGGGUCAGGCGAAAUCAUUUCAAAAAGUCCUUAACGAGAGGAAAACAAAGCCUACAUAUUCCUAAGGGCAAAGCAUAAGAGCCAUUGUUGCCAGCCUAAUGAGCCUCAGGGCAACACACACUAAAAGGCCAUAUCAACCAAAAGCGUAAGAGCCAUCGUCGCCAGCUUAAGAAUUUGAAAGCUUGAGGGUCAAAGUGAGCUUGAGUCGUAACCCGAUUCGGACACCGGAUCCAAAAUAGUUAACUAUACAUGCCUAAAGGCAUAGCGUAAGAGCCAUCGUUGCCAGCUUCUUGAGCCUCAGGGCCACAUACAUAAAAAGUCGCUUCGACCGAAGGCGUGAGAGCCAUUGUUGCCAACCUACAAAAAUACAGAACUUGAGGGUCAAUUCUGCUCGAGUCGAAACCCGACUCGAAGACUGAACCCAAAAUAGUUAAAAUACAAGUGCCCAAAGGCAAAGUGUAAGGGAUAUUUUCGCCUACCCAUGCAGACAUGAAAGCUUGAGGGUCAAAUGGGCUCGAGUCGAAGUCUGACUCGGAGACUAAACCCAAAAUAGUUGAGCAAAAGCAUAAGAUCUCUAACAUGUAAGAGCCCCCGGGCCUACCUGAUGAGCCAUAGAGCCGUAUCACGAAUCUAAGGAUACUCACCAACUUCGAAACUAGUCCACCUGGUCAAAGGCGAAGCAGAAAGGGGUGCAUAAGCAAUAAAGCUUCAAGUUCUCUGCUAUUUUACAUACAUGAAAAAGUGCAUCCUCCAUCUACGAACGCGCUCUGGAAAUAUCACAUAUAAAAUGACAAAAUCUAUGCCCCGACCCAAGGGCUACGGCCUAUCGAACUCGUUUUCGCUCUCCUCAGUGCCGGAUAGGAGUGACUGAGCAUCACUCUCGUCCGCCCUCACUCGCGCCAGCUCUUCCGGGAGAACAAAACCCUUGGGGCCGAUAUCCUCAAGUACCUUUCGUCGGGAUCUGUAACGAGCAUAUUCUUCGAUCCUCUCUUCAUGAUUGAGGACCCUCUUCAACUCAGCUUGGGCAGUGGUAGCAUCUUUCAAAUGAAUUGUCAUCUCCUGAUUAGCCUUAGUCCAGCUAAGUGCUGCUUCGGCCCGAGUAUCAACGAUCUCAGCCCUGACCUUCAAAAGUUCGGACUAAAGCUUUGUGAUCAUAUCCGCUUGAACUGAAACGUUGUCACGAGCUAAGCGGAGUUUGAAGAUAGGAACUUUAGCCAAGGCACCAUUCUCUUCUGAAGCUUGAGCCUGCACCUGAGCUCUUAGCUCGCCACAGUCAUUCCUGACUCGGUCAGCUUCACCCCUAAGGCGCUCUAGAGCCUCUGUCUUUUUCUGCAACUGGGAUAGGCAAAAAGUUAACCCAAAGGGUUAAAAGGUGAGACGCAUACCCGCCCGGGAUGAGAAGUUACCUGCUCCAUCAAAUAGCUCUCGUAAUUCGAUCUGGUAUGCCUCAUAUCGCUAGUGUGUCAACUCAACUUCCUCAUCCUUGCAAAGGAGCUUAAGGGACCUACCCUCUUCCAGAGCUUUUUGGAGCCUAGCCCCAUGGCGGAGCAACUCAUACCUAAGCCUGUCAAAGGCCUGUAGAAGAAAAACUCGAUAAGGAAGGGAAGACGUGAGAUGCGGAAGGCCUGUGCCAAAACUCACCGCAAAGUGAAGCCGGCGGACUUCCUCAAAGGCCGAGCACACUUUUGUUGAUCCAACCCCCUUGGCCCCGGAAGAACCAACCUAGGUCGAAGCAUGAUCACUCGGAGGAAUCACCUCUCCAGAACCGAAAACUUCGGGCGUAGCAGGCCUUGGUGAUGUUUUCUCCUUAAAGACUCGGCCCCAUUUUGCCUUGUUGUAAGCUCCAUCGCACUGCAAAUGCAUAUCCCAAUUUUCAUUAUCGUCCUUCAGCUCGGAAGCUGGCAACUCCUCCCCCUUUCUAGAGGAACACAGCCUCAUCCUUGGGGACCCUCCGAUACCUACAACGACAAGAUUAGUGCAUAAAAGGGGGAAAAGGUCUUCCCAAACGUAUGAAGGACAAGGUAAAAGCAGCAUAUGCACAUACCAUGGUAUUUUGCUUCCCAUCUGCUCUAGGACACAGUUCGCCAACUAUGCUUGUCACAAGUCGAAUGGGUCUCCAACUUUCGGACCCAACCGGGCAGAUCAGGAACUUCGCCCAGCACCCAUGAAAUUGCUGCAAAAAAGAAGGAAACACGAUUACUAAACUAGCUUUCACUAUGAGCGAAUCUGAGAAAGCACAAGACGUUCCACUCACGCGUGUAAUUCCAUUCCUCGGGGAAUGGCAUAAGUUCCACAGGAAUAACAUCAGUCGUCUAGACCCGAACAAAUUGACUGACCUACUCUCGAUCUCCAUCUUCCUCAUCAUCAACAACAAAGGGCGUGGACGAACCGCACCGUAAGGUUAGCAGACCUCGAUGAUGAAAGGGCUGGUACAGCCUGACGAGGUGACUGAGCAUGAAUUCAAGCCCUGCUUUUCUCCGCGAAGAACCUCAUCAUCAGCACUAUUCGCCAAAAUGACGGAUGUAUCUGCGCCAAAGUAACCCGAUACUUUAAACAGAAAUCGAGCACGACCCUAUCAAGGGGGCCUAGUGCAAAAGGGUACAAGUACACGUUCAGGAAUCUAUCAGCGAGGUCCAUGAUACCAUCAUCCGGGGGAAGCGCCUACUACGCUACCCCCCUCGGCCCAUCCGUAGUCUCUCUUCACUCUCUCCAGAUGCUCUUCUCUUAUCGAAGACAUAGUCUUCAGAGUAAACUCCCGUGGUCCUGAGCAUUGAGAGUGGAACUCUCCCCUCUCUGCUGAGCAGACCCUGAAGUGGCAGUCAUGGCUAUGGUGGAACUAGCAAACUGAGGCAGGAACCUACAAGAACGCUUUGGCACUAAGGUAACGAAUGACUUGAUGCCCAAAUGGAAGGAUAACUAUCUAAAAAAAUGGGAUCUUCCAAGAAGCGGUAGCAACCCCAUAUAUAUGUGGGAAAACAGCAAUGAUUCGCCUACCCAAGUUAGGCCCCGGGAGGCCAACGGCUUCGGUACGGGUUCCGAGGUAGUACUCGACCUCGAGGUUUCCUCUCAAGGAGAAAAAUAAGCACUUCGAGCUCCAUCUAUGAGGGCUCGACCUCAGGAAGUCUCCUAGAAAAUGAGUAACCCCUCCUCAGAGACCUGCCUACAACGCCUUAAAAGGUUGUUGACAUCAAGUUCAAAGUAAAUCUCCGAGUACCCGAAGCUGACUUUCGCUUAAAGGCCUCUCUCAAAAUUUCAAGUUUUGGUGCUUUAUUUCCACAAGGCUCGAGGGUCCCAAUGACCCGAGUUUAUCAGACCACUUCAGGCUUGAUCCGGAGAACAACAAUGAUCUCGGAAAUGAGCCAUUUCUAUCAACCAGAGGCCGGAAAGAAUGCUCGCACCCGAGUUGAAUACUGACGAUCGUCAAUAGAGACAUACAUUCGAAUCCCCACAAAAUGCACAAGAAUAUGGAAAAUACCAAAGCAGAAAGAAAGAAGAUGUCUUUUUAUUUCAUAAAUAUUAGCUUACAAUGGCCCUCGAGGGGUCCUUACAUAAAAUUACAAAAGUCCGCAAGGGGUCCUUACGUAGGAACAAAGAAACAAAGGGAUGCACACACGUGGUAAAAGCCUAGAGCCUAGUCCAUCCUCGAAGGUUCAUCUCCAGUAUCAACAUCUCUGAGUGCCACCUCCUCGAGCUCGCAUCCUCGAAGGCAACUCCUUCGAUCGCCAUCUCCUCCAGGUUCUCAGCUCAAUCUCGCAGAAUGUCCUCGCCGAGGGAGAAUAUGAAUAAGAGGAAAAGGGGGGACGCAGAAGAGGCAGAGAAAGGAUACAUAGCCCGCCGAAGCCAAAGGUUUAAGAUUCGACGGGCCCCAGCCUCAAUGGCCGGUAGUGCCAUUUUAUUCCUCAUGAAAGAAAAAAUCCAAGGGAUGAAGUGCCACACCAGGCCAGGGUAGGAGAGUGAGCAGUGGUAUAUAGUUCGAAUAAUUUUCUAAAGUGAGGAAAGUCGAUCCCUAUAUAUCAUCAUCUCGAGCCAAUAAGGAUAGCAACAACAGUCAUAACAAUAACAGCAGCAACAACAAAACGGUAUAACCAUGCUCGACAAAAGGGAGCUCAGGCAAAAGGCCACAACAUGGCCUAUGGGAACGCUGCCAAACAAUCUUAAGGCCGUGAACUCCAAAUGUGGUGACCAACAAUAGAGGAAGAUGGCGAGAAGAAAGGGAUGAAUGAGCAAAUAAAGACACUUGGAUGGAAAAAUAAUGCCAGAACACCCCCAUUUAUAGGAGAUAAUGACAUAGUCAUCAAGGCCUUUGGAUGUCUGACCGGUAGGCGCAAUUACUGUGUCCUUGAAAAACUAAAUUGAUGGCGGUACUACCACUUUGAAGAAUGGGAAUCGACAGUGCAUUGAAUGGCAUCGAAAAGGCAAGUCCAUGGUAUGUCCCGCUUAUCGUGAAAAUUCACGCCAUAGAUUGCAUCAUCGACAUGACAUCAUCAUGGGAGCCCAGGAAGUCAGGUAUCAUAAUCGUUUCCCAUCGCUUCGUUCUAGGAGAUGCGGAGACUAUCUGUAUCCGGCAAAAUUAGAGGGUCUAAUUUCUUACUAUUAAGUCGUUUCGGAGGAACACCUUGAGGCCUCGAGGACGUGAGGCUAUGACCGAGUUCCCUUCCUUAAAGCUCGUCAGGGCUCGACCUAAAGAGAAUAUUGAUCGAGGCUAGAGUAAAAUAGGGGAUUCCCAAAGCACAUGGCUAAGUCUGAUAGAGCUGGCCUACCUAGAGUCUGUAUCGAGGUGUUACAUCUAGCCUUCCCCUCCCCAUGCCUUUACAAUUAAUGUAUUUUGUGUUAUGACGGGAUUUUCCUCCUAUAUAAAGGGGAUCCUUAUCACUUUGUAAGGGGCUGUUGUUGCUCCAACUAUUCUACACAAGAUUAAUAACAUCUCUCUCUCUCUCUCUCUUUUCUCUCUAACUUACUCGCUCGGGACUAUCUCUUUCAUUGAUUGCUUUCAUACUUAUUCUCUAUUUAUUGCUUGAUAUUGGCCAUAAAGAGCCUCCUUUAAUUAUACUCUAACUGUUAGUUCCUUCUUGGUCAUCCCGAUAGCUCGAGCCCGAGCCCAAGCAUCGACCUCGAGGUCCUUAUCGGUUACUCCAAGGCCCAAACAACAAGCCUCUCGGUUUGAUUAUAACCCUGUUUUAAUUCGUAUUUUGUCGUUAAGCUUCACAUAUCUAGCAUCAACUGCUCUAACAACUAGCAUAAAAAUAGAUCACAUAUUUUUAGAGUACCAUCAACAAAUUUAAUUGUUAUUACCAUUUUCACGGUAAACAAAGAUCUUAGGUUUAUAAUUUGGAAUCAAUUCCUAUGAUUUUUAUUGAUUAUAUUAAGUUUUUUUGGCUAGAUUCGGGUUAUUCAGAGGUUGAUUCACGGCGGAAGGUCGUGUUAGAGGAGUGAUUUAGCUUGCUUGAGGUAAGUAUGAUACAUAAACUUGGUUGAGGCAUUAGUUACAUGAGUUAUUUGUGAUAGCUACGUGCUAUGGGCACGCAUAUGUGUGGGGGUUGAGCCCAUGUGCGAGCACUUGGGUAUUUAUCGAUGUUCUAGGUAGUGCAUAGGCAAUGAUAUGCAUUUAAUUGAUUGACAAGCUUUAUGAUGCAAUGUUUCUCGUAUUUGUAACCCUGUUGUGAACUAUUUGAUUCAUGUUUGAGGUUAGAUAGAGGUUAUUCCCCUAAAUGAACUUGAUAAUAGCUAUUUUCAUGAUGAAAUUGUUGAUUUGAGCCAUGAUAGCAAACUUUGCACAUGCAUACACCUUAGCAUGUCAAUUAUACCAAUCUAGGAGCAUGAAAUCUAAUAUUAAUUGAUCAUAUACAUGUAUUCUUAUACAUUUACUUCUGUGUAAUAUGAUUUCGAUUGGGUGCCUGUGACCACGCCGGGCGGAUUAUGUUGGUAGCCUAUGACCACACCAGGCGAAUUGUGAUUAUUGGCAAGUGAGUUGUUGGUGCAACACGUGAGUUGUCCAUGAAGCACGUGAGUUAUCCGUGCAGCACAUGAAUUGUCCGGGCUGAUCCAGAUAUUGAUAUUAUUGGCACAUGAGUUGUCUAUGUGGUUGAUAUUAUUAGCACUUUUGAGUUACCCAUGUAGCACGUGAGUUGUACGUGUAGUGUGUGGAUAUGGAUCCAUCCCCUAGGGUCACCAUCUCAUGUUUCUCUCUUCAUGGUAUACACGCAAAUUGAGGAAAACUGAUCAGUGGUUUGGUACUGUAUUGGAAGUUCUGAUGAAAAUCUGGCCAGUAUUGUUUGGUUAUUGAAUUUCAUAUUUACUUGUAAUUUCUUUGGUUAUUUACCUGACUUAUUGGCACAUCAUCUUUAUAUGCUGGAUUAUUGAUUGAGAAGAGUACUUGAUGAACUGUGAACACUAAGCUUGUUCUUUCUAUGCUAUAUGACUUGAUUAUGUCAUCAUUUUAUGCUGGUUGAAAUUAUGAUCUGUACAGGUUUUAGUGAGUAUCAUUUAGAAUUCUUGCUUCUUUUACUUUGCCGAGGUUAUUUAUGAUACUUGCUGAGUGCAUGGGGUCGUUUGUACUCAUGCUACACUCUGCACUUAAUUGUGCAGAUCAAGGUAUCAGACUCAGUCAUUGGUAGCUUAGGCAUAUAUCUAAGGUGAUCAUCGAGAGAUGAGGUAGAGCUAUAUUCUUAACCGCAGUCUUGGCGUCUCUUUUCUUAUGUACUAAUGUAUUUAUUUCAAACAGUAUUGUAUUUGGCUUUUCAGACUUGUAUUUCUGCAUUUAGAGCUCUUAACUCUGAAUUUAUCAUGUAUUGGUAUUAUUAUGCUAAGUUAAAGUUUUAGACUUAUGUAAAUUUUGUUAUUUUUGCAAGUUUUGGUUAAUUACUGCUAUGUUCGGCUUGCCUAGCAAGUGUGUUAGGAGCCAUCAUGACUUGUUGGGUUUUUGGGUCAUGGCAAGUUGGUAUCAGAUCCCUGGGUUCAUAGGUAUUAUGGGUCAUGAGCAAGUUUAGUAGAGUCUAGUGAAUCGGUAUGGAGACUUCUGUACCUAUCUUCGAGAGACUACCAAAUUGUUAGGAUACUUUACUUUCUUGCAUUCUUGUCAUGCGUAUUUGUUAUUUUUGAAGUUUAAACCUUGACUCUUCUAUUCUCACACAGAUGGUCGUGCGACUGUAUCGGGCAAAUGGCCACCAGUACCACCAGUUAGGGCCAUGAGAGGUCGGGGUCGCGGUAGAGGCUGAGGUAGGGCUCACACUAUAGCUAGGGUAACACCUAUGGAGCCUCCAAAUGCUCAAGCUUGGGAGCAGGUUUUGGAUAUUGCUGAGAUAGUGGGAUCAUAUUCCUAGUCUUCAGGAGGCUUUGGCUCAUAUUUUGACUGUCUACACGAGCCUGGCUUAAGUGGUUUCGAUUCUAGUUGCACCAGCUACCUUAUAGGCUGAGGGAGGUGCCUAGACUCCUGUCGCUCGUACUCCAGAGCAGCUAGCUCAGGGUCAUCAAACGCUAGGGGUGUUACUAUUUCAGCUAGUUGUUGCAACUCGGGCCAAGGUUUAUCCACCUAUGAGUGAUGAGGAGCAGUAGAGGUUGGAGCAGUUUAGGAGGAGAGUCGGAGGAUGCUUAGGAUUUUCUAUACCGGGGUCACCAGAUUCUUUGCACCGUGGGUAUUUUGGAAACCGGUGGAGUUGCAUUCACUACCUUUUAGCUGAUAAGGGCAGCCUAUAGAUGGUAGAAGGAUUAUGAGUCGUGCAGGCUAGCUGAUGCAAUACCACUUACAUGAUAUGAGUUCUCAAUUCUCUUCUUAGAGAAGUUUGUCCCACAGACUUUUAAAAAGAAGUUGUGUAGGGAGUUUGAGCAGCUAUGCCAAGAGUGUAUGACUCUGGACAAUAUGAGAUGAGAUUUUCAGAUUUGGCACGUUAUGCUAUAUGGUUGGUUCCCAUCGAGAGGGAGAGGAUCAUGAGGUUCAUUGAUGGCCUCAAAUAUGGUUUGUGUUACAAUAUGUCUUGAGAGGUUGUGACAGAUGCUAGGUUUGACCAGGUGGUUGAGAUUUCUUGAUGUUUGGAGAAGGUUUGACCAGGUGGUAGAGAUUGCUUGAUGUUUGGGGUAGGUUUGACCAGGUGGUCGAGAUUGCUUGACGUUUGGAGCAGGUUCGCAGGCUGGAGCACGAGGAGCGAGAGGCCAAGAGGCCUUAGGGUUUAGAUGGUUUCAAUAGUGACUCAUUUGGAGGCCAGUCACAGUAUAGCAGAGGUUGUCCUUCUAGACCCGUUUAGACAGCUUGCCAUGUUCAUCAUGGUUGUUCAGUUAGCCACAAUUCCUACAGUGCACACCCAGCUUAGUCGUCAUUCAAUACGCUACUAGAAUAGAGUUCUUACCAUGCUCCAUCUACGCAGGGUUCCACAGGAAGUUAUUCAGAUUAUCAGGGUCAGCAGCUCCAUUAUAGGAGAGGUUAUUUUGAGUGCGGGGAUUUGAGUCAUCUCAAGAGAAAUUGCCCCAGACUGUAGAGUAGGGCUCUAUAGCAGAGCUCUCAGCCUAUGAUUUCAGCACCAACAGUACACCACCCGCACAACCAGCUAUGGUUAGGGCACUGUCAACAUGAGGUCGCCCUAGAAGGGAGGUCGUUCAGGCAGUAGUCAAGAACGUUUCUAUGCAUUUCCUUCCAGGCUGGAGGGAGUUACUUUUGACAUCGUGAUUACAAGUAUUAUUUCAGUAUGCCACAGGGAUUCUUUAGUGUUAUUUGACCCUGGUUCCAUUUAAUCAUAUGUGUCAUCAUACUUUGCUUGUUAUUUGGAUAUUCCCCAUGAUUCUUUAGUUGUGUCUGUUCAUGUAUCUACACCGGUGGGUGAUUCUAUUAUUAUGGACCAUGUGUAUCAGUCGUGUGUGGUGGCUAUUGGGGUAUGAGAUGAGGGUUGAUCUUUUACUACUUAGCAUGGUUGAUUUUGACGUGAUUUUUGCCAUGGAUUGGUUGUCACCAUGUCACGCUAUUCUUGAUUGUCACGCUAAGACUGUGACGUUGACGAUACUGGGGUUGCCUAGGUUGAGUAGAGAGGUUCCCUAGAUUAUGUUCCGAGUAGGGUGAUUUCAUACUUAAAGUCUCAAUAGAUAGUUGAGAAGGGGUGUCUGGCGUACUUGGCCUUUGUGAUGGGCGUUAGUGCUGACACUCCUACCGUGGAGUCAGUUCUGGUAAUGAGAGAAUUCUCAGAUAUGUUUCCAGUAAACCUGUCGGGCAUGCCACCCAAUAGGGACAUUGAUUUUGGUAUUGAUCUGGUGUCAGUCACUCUACCCAUCUCUAUUUCAUCGUAUCGUAUGGCACCUAUAGAGUUGAAGGAGCUGAAGGAACAACUUUAAGGUUGCUUGAUAAGGGCUUCAUCAGGCCUAGUGUGUCUCCGUGGGAUGCGCCGGUUCAUUUUGUGAAGAAGAAGGAUAUACUAUGAGGAUGUUUAUUGACUACAGCCAGUUAAGCAAGGUUACAUUUAAUAACAAGUACCCACUACUGCGCACUUCUUUGAUCAACUUUAGGGUGCUAGAGUGUUCUCGAAGAUUCAUUUAAGGUCGGGGUGCUAUCACCUGAAGAUCCGGGAUUCAGACAUUCUGAAGACGGCUUUCAUGAUUAGCUAUGGUCGCUAUGACUUUCUGGUGAUGUCUUUUGGGCUGACGAAUGCCCCAACAACCUUUAUGCACUUGAUAAACAAUGUGUUUCAACCGUAUCUUGAUUCUUUCAUCAUUAUAUUUAUUGAUGAUAUAUUGAUGUAUUCUCACAGCCUGGAGGAUCAUGUACAACACUUGAGGAUGAUUCUCCAGAUUUUGAGGGAGGAGAAGCUAUAUGAUAAAUUCUCUAAGUGUGAGUUUUGGCUUGAUUCGGUGGCAUUUUUGGGGAACAUGGUGUCCAGUAAGGGGAUUAAGGUAGACCCAAAGAAGAUUUUGGCAAUUUAGAGUUGGCCUAGUCCGUCUACUGCUACUGAGAUCCAGAGUUUCCCUGGUUUGGUCGGGUAUUAUCACCAUUCUGUGGAGGGUUUCUCGUCCAUGGCAACCCCAUUGAAUCGAUUGACCCAGAAGGGUGCCCCAUUCAGGUGGUCUGAUGAAUGAUGGAGAGCUUUCACAAGUUCAAGACUACUUUGACUACAACUCCAUUUCUGGUUUUACCUUCAGAUCAGGUCUUAUACUAUUUAUUAUGAUGCAUCAUAGAUUAGCAUUGGAUGUGUAUUGAUGUAGGAAGAUAGAGUUAUUUCUUAUGCUUCGCGUUAGUUGAAGCCCCAUGCGAAGAACUAACAUGUUCAUUAUUUGGAGUUGGCAGCCAUUGUUCACGCGUUGAAGAAGAUUUGGAGGCAUUAUCUUUAGGGUGUGUCAUAUGAGGUAUUCACGGAUCGUAGGAGUCUUCAGCACUUAUUCAAGCAAAAGAAUCUGAACUUGAGGCAGUAGAGGUGGUAAGAACUACUAAAAGACUAUGAUAUUACCAUUCUUUAUUACCCAAGAAAGGCCAAUGUGGUGGCUUAUGCCUUGAGUAGGAAGGCUAAGAAUAUGGGAAGCCUUGCUUAUAUUCUAGUCAGGGAGAGACUGUUAGCAUUGGAUGUUCAGGCUUUGGCCAAUCACUUGGUGAGUUUGGAUAUUUUAGAGCCUAGUCGUGUUCUUGCUUCAUGGUUUUACGGUCUUCUUUGUUUUAGCGCAUCAAGGCACAUUAGUACGAUGAUCCCACUUGCUUGUCCUGAAGGACAUGGUGCAACACGAUGAUGCUAAAAAGGUUACAAUAGGACAUUAUGGGGUAUUGAGGAUGCAGGGUUGGAUCUGUGUUACAAAUGUGGAUGGGUUACAAGAGUUGAUACUUGAGAAAGCCCACAAUUCACGGUAUUCCAUUCAUCCAGAUGCCGUGAAGAUGUAUCAAGAUUUGAGGCAGCACUAUUGGUGGUGGAGAAUGAAGAAAGAUAUUUUUAGUAUGUUGCUCGGUGUUUGAAUUGUCAGCAGGUGAAGUAUAAAAUUAGAGACCCGGUGGUUUGAUUCAAAGGCUUGAUAUUCCGAAAUGGAAGUGGGAGCAUAUCACCAUGGAUUUCGUAGUUGGACUUCCACGGACCUUGAAGAAAUAUGAUUCAAUAUGGGUUAUUGUGGAUAGAUUGACCAAGUCUACAUAUUUUAUUCCAGUUCUGACUACCUACUCUUUGGAGCAGCUGGCUCGAAUUUACAUUCAUGAUAUUGUUCGCCUUCAUGGUGUGCCUAUGCCUAUUAUCUCGGAUCGAGGCACUCAAUUUACAUCAUUGUUUUGGAGAGCGGUGCAGCAAGAGUUGGGCAUAUAGGUAGAGCCGAGUAUAAUAAUUCAUCCCCAGAUGGACGAGCAGUCCGAGGCACUAUUCAGAUCUUGGAGGACAUGUUACGGGCCUAUGUCAUUGAUUUUAGAGGUUCAUGGGAUCAGUUUCUUCCAUUAGCAGAAUUUGCCUACAAAAAAAGCUUAUUUGAGUAUCCAAGUGUCUCCUUAUGAGGCCUUGUAUUGGAGGAGAUGUCGGUCUCCAGUUGGUUGGUUCGAGCCUAGGGAGGCUAGGUUGUUGGGCAUUGAUUUGGUCUGUGAUGCCUUGGAGAAGGUGAAAUUGAUCCAGGAGCGGCUCUGUAUAGCACAAUCUAGGCAAAAGCAUUAUGCUAAUAGGAAGGUUCGUGAUAUUUUAUAUAUGGCGGGUGAGAAGGCUUUGCUCAGAGUUUCGCCCAUGAAGGGCGUGAUGAGGUUCGGGAAGAAGGGCAACUUGAGCCCUCAGUAUAUUGGUGCUUUUGAGGUGCUUCAGAGGGUUAGAGAGGUGGCCUACAGACUUGAAUUACCACCUAUUCUAUCAAGUUUUUUGUCCAUGUCCAAUCCUCACUCAAUAGUGAGUGGAAACGGUCAUUGAUAUAAUAGUACCCAACAGUAGUCGGGGUCGAAUUCUACAGGGAGUUUGUAAGGGGUGUUAGAGUAGAUACUUGACGAGAGCACGUGAAACAACUUAAUUGCACUUCCAAACAAAGGGUGGUUGUUUUCCAAUUCUAAAAUUUACACUAACAAAUUUAAACUAAUUAGAUGAAACUAGAAAGCGAAUACUUGUUUUUGAUGUUUCAAAUCAAAUGGGAAAAGCCUAGAGAUGUAACCUUCACCUAGGUGUUACCCUAAUGGGUGAAUCGCGUAAAUACUUGUUUUGUUGAUCGGAGUUUAUUAUAACUCUCAACUCUCAAUUACCCACUUAAUACCUCUUGGUUAUAUAGUGGUUAUGCCCAAAUUAGCUUUCUCAAGUCCAAUUGGGUGUCAAUUCAAACAAUUGAUAUGAGCGCAAGUCGGGUUUUUUCUAUCUCUAGUUCAAACUCUAUAAUUAGACUAGCCAAAACCUUAACUAUCCCAAUUUUUUGUUAGCCAAGUUUCCUAGACUAAGUCCCUAGUUCUCAAGCAAGGACGGUUUUUCCUAUCUCUAGUUCAAACCCUGUAAUUAGAUUAGCCAAAACCUUAACUAUCCCAAUUUCUUGUUAGCUAAGUUUUCCUAGACUAAGUCCUUAUUUCUCAAGCAAGGACUUAGUCAAAUAGGCAAGAAUCAAUAUUUGCAACCACUAAUUCUAAAAAUAAUGCAUAAAAAGGGUAAACAAUAAAUAACCAAUCAUAAAAAAGCACUAAAAUUAAUUACCCAUAGGGUUUACACACUAGGGUUGGGUCACAAUCUUAGAGAAAAUCUAGCUACUCAUGCUAGGAAGUGAAGAAAACAAAAGAAGAAUAAAAAUAAGGAGGAGGAGGAGGAGGAGGAUAAAGAAGAAGAAGAAGAAGAAGANACGAGACGACGNNNNNNNNNNNNNNNNNNNNNNNNNAGAGAGAGAGAGAGAGAGAGAGAGAGAGAGAGAGAGAGAGAGAGAGAGAGAGAGAGAGAGAGAGAGAGAGAGAGAGAGAGAGAGAGAGAGAGAAGAAGAAGAAGAAGAAGAAGAAGAAGAAGAAGAAGAAGUUAUUAAAGCCAUAAUCUAAGAUUAAAUGAUAAAAUAAUGAUUUUUCACCAAAAAUAGUCACAACUUCCCCCAAAACAGCAAAAUAUAACCACUACAGCUCAUUACAAUUCAAAACUUGCCCUAAAAAGCAUUUCCCAUCUAUUUAUAGUGUCCUAAAAUUCACUAACAAAAAUGCUCUUCGAGAGGCUCUGCGGCCGCACAAUUCCAUGUGCAAAGAAAUCUGCAGCCUCACAAUUCCAACUGCAGCUGCACUUCAUCUUUUGCGGUCACACUUUUCCAUGUGCGAACCGCAUUUUGGAAAGGCUUCCUACUUGGUCUUUUUGCACCUUCUCUGAACUUUUUCCAAUCUUGUCAGUGCAACCAUCUUUUGUGGCUCCCGCUUUUUAGAAACUCCUCUGAGGCUAAAGCGUCUUCUUUGCGGCCACAAGUGUAUUUCUACGGACCGCACUUUCUUCUACGAUCGCAGAAUUACUUCUGCGAACCGCAUUUCGGCCUGAUGCACUCCUUCUUGCCUUAUUGAGCUGGAAUACUACUUUUUGAGUUCGAAUUCUUCGUUAAGGUCCAAUCCUCCAACGUGCCUGCAAUUUGUACAAUUUCAUUAGUUUUAGGAACAAGAAUCAAUACUUUUGGACUAAAACUAAAGCAAGAAGGUACUAAUAAGUUGUUAAAAUCUACACUUAUCAACUCCCCCAAACGUAAGUCUUGUCAUCAAGCAAAUAAAUUAGUUCCCACCUUCACUAAGUGAAGAUCAUUUCAAAAGAGUCAAUUGUAAGCCAUUCAUACUCAGUUGGGACCAACAAUUACUCAUAAUACUCAUGCAUUACAACAAGGUGACAAACCUUAUGUUAUGUGCAUAUAAGUCUAGUGUAACAUUUGAGCAUCAAGAAUUGACUUCACUCAUCAAGGACUCUUGUUCUAUCAUAUAGAUCAUGGUGGACUCCAAACUCUUCCUCCUAUACCUUCCAUUUUCCAUUCUCACUUCAAGAAUUAUCACUCAAUGACUAGAGCAAUAAAGGAUUCACUCUUCUGUCACAAAGGAAUGUAACAAGUAAGACUUCAAAUACCAUAGGCUUGCCCCUCAUGUAGAUCACCACUAAUGUAAGCUCACUCGGUUCAAAAUCAAGUAGAACUUCUUUAGGGUUGUAAUGAAGGCUUUUGGAUUGGGGUAGGAUAUCAUAUGGGAUAAGUAGUUACAACCUUUCUUAAGCACUCAACCUUUUCAUUUCUUGGCUCACAUUUACUAACUCUUAGAGGCAUUUCCUUUCCCUGGGGGCUAGAGAGACUUGAUAUCACUCUUUAUUGUUCAUUUCAUUCUUUUUCUCCCUUGAUGCUCAUACUAGAGAUAGUUGCCUCUUUUUGAUUUCAUCAACCUUCCUUUUUAUUUCCUUUUUGGCAUUUUUCUUUUUGUUCUUUUCUUUUCUUUCCUUCUCUUUUCAUAGAGAUCAUUUCUUCUCUCUUUUUGGUGCCUUGAUACCUCUUUUAGAUUCCUCAACUUUUCCCCCCAAACUUAUGCCUUAAGCCACUUAUUUCAUAAGAGUGUUAAGGAAGGUCCUAGUGCCAAGAGAGGAUUAUCGACUAAACGGGUAAAGGCCUGUAGCAUGGUUACCAAUAGAGAAAGGCUAAAGGCUCAAAGGGGUUGACUAGGGAUAACAAGCAUUAGGUGAUAAUAGAAAGUUCAAACGAACCAAAGAAAUCAGGGACUAUGCACUUUGAAGGCAGCAACAAAAUAAGGCGGUUGUGGAAAAUUCUCAGAGUAAUUCGUUUUGCUUGCUUUGUGAUAUCCAGGCUUGGUCCUCGACCCCCGAACGCGAACCCGACUUAAUACUUUGGGCUUUUACUUAGACUUCAAAGUUUCAAAUCACUCGAAUUAGCUCCAUAACAUCUACAUCACUCGAAAUCACUCUUACUAGGCAUAAAACACGCAAUAAGUACAAAACACUAGCGAUUAAAGCUCAAAAUCAAUUAAAGUGCAGUAAAUUUGAGUGUGAUAAGCGACUAAAACACGUAAUUACAGCCUACCUCAAACCGUGCAAAUCUCUACUCCAAUAAUCCCUUGCCUCGCGACUCGGCCUCUGAAUUCUUCUAAUCUAGCCACACAUAAUUCAAUAAAAUCAAUACUAGCUAUAGGAAUCAAUUCCUUAUGACUUCUUUAACAAAAAUCAUAAAGUCAACUCAGAAAAUCAACCUCUAGUCCACGUCUCAAAAUCCGAAGAAAUUAACAAAAUCCAAACACCCAUCAACCACGAGUCCAACCAUACCAAAAUUACUCAAUCCGAUCACAAUUCAACCUUCAAAUCAUCAAAUUAAAGCCUAUGAAGUUUGUACAAUUUUCCCCAAUUUUUACAACCUAAAACACUAAUUAAAUGAUAAAAACAAUAAUAAAUUCUUGUAUAUUAACCAAAUACGAGCUAGAAUCACUUACCUUAAUCAAUUCCUUGAAAAUCCCUCCAAGAAUCGCCUCAAUCCGGGCUCCUAAAGUCUAAUCAUGAAAUUUUACUCUAACCUUUAUUUUUGGAAACUUAUAUUCUGCCCAGAUGCCUCUUCUUCACGAACGCGGAAAAUACCUCGCUUUUAUGAAGCACAAAAUAUUAUGGUGCAAAGAUUCCUCUUCACGAACGUGAAUAACCCCACGCGAUUUAGUGACUCCCCAGGCUCAACAUUCGCAGACACUCUCUCACAAAGGCAUAACACAAAAUCCCCAGCUUCCUAGAACACUCUUUGUGAUCGCGAUCCUCCACUCGUGAUCGCAUAUAAGGAAACCAGCACAGCAAAAAUCAGAGGCCUCCAAAGUUCCGAAAUGCGCCAAACAUGAACCAAAUCA